GUGGGGAAUAUUGGGCAAUGGGCGAAAGCCUGACCCAGCAACGCCGCGUGAGGGAAGAAGGCCUUCGGGUUGUAAACCUCUGUCCUUGGUGACGAAAAAAAUGACGGUAGCCAAGGAGGAAGCCCCGGCUAACUACGUGCCAGCAGCCGCGGUAAUACGUAGGGGGCGAGCGUUGUCCGGAAUUACUGGGCGUAAAGGGUGCGUAGUUGGCCUUUUAAGUUGGAUGUGAAAUACCCGGGCUUAACUUGGGGGGUGCAUCUACUACUGGAGGGCUAGAGUGCAGGAGAGGGAAGCGGAAUUCCUAGUGUAGCGGUGAAAUGCGUAGAUAUUAGGAGGAACACCAGUGGCGAAGGCGGCUUUCUGGACUGUAACUGACACUGAGGCACGAAAGCGUGGGGAGCAAACAGGAUUAGAAACCCCGGUAGUCC
rnacentral:rRNA from 1 species